rnacentral:rRNA from 1 species
UACGUAGGUGGCAAGCGUUGUUCGGAAUUAUUGGGCGUAAAGGGCGCGUAGGCGGUCAUGACGAGUCACUUGUGAAAUCUCCGGGCUUAACUCGGAACGGUCAAGUGAUACUGUCAGACUAGAGUGCAGAAGGGGCAACUGGAAUUCUCGGUGUAGCGGUGAAAUGCGUAGAUAUCGAGAGGAACACCUGCGGCGAAGGCGGGUUGCUGGGCUGACACUGACGCUGAGGCGCGAAAGCCAGGGGAGCGAACGGG